rnacentral:rRNA from 1 species
AUUGAACGGGGGCGGCAGGCUUAACACAUGCAAGUCGAGCGGGGGAAGGUAGCUUGCUAGUGGACCUAGCGGCGGACGGGUGAGCAAUGCUUUGGAAUCUGCCUAUUAGUGGGGGACAACAUCUCGAAAGGAAUGCUAAUACCGCGUACGUCCUACGGGAGAAAGCAGGGGAUCUUCGGACCUUGCGCUAAGAGAUGAGCCUAAGUCGGAUUAGCUAGUUGGUGGGGUAAAGGCCUACCAAGGCGACGAUCUGUAGCGGGUCUGAGAGGAUGAUCCGCCACACUGGGACUGAGACACGGCCCAGACUCCGACGGGAGGCAGCAGUGGGGAAUAUUUGACAAUGGGGGGAACCCUGAUCCAGCCAUGCCUCGUGUGUGAAGAAGGCCUUAUGGUUGUAGAGCACUUUAAGCGAGGAGGAGGCUACUUUAGUUAAUACCUAGAGAUAGUGGACGUACUCGCAGAAUAAGCACCGGCUAACUCUGUGCCAUCCGCCGCGGUAA